rnacentral:tRNA from 1 species
AACUAAUGUGUCAGAUUUAAUGUAUUAAAUUUAAGAUUUAAGUAUGAAACUCACAUUCCUUUAGU